AGAUAUGAGGGUAAUGUGACUAUGACAUCUGUCAUCUCACUGGUCCCCAGUGUUGAUUCAGCUGAUCUGGCUGGGAGAUAAAUAUCCUCCUACUCUCACCGCCCCUCACGUCCCCUUCCCAAGCUUCACGCUCCAUUGACGAUGACCUUCUCCAGUAGAGAAGGACCAUCCUUCAGGCAAGCGUGUACAAAUAGCUGCACGCCUCUGUUUGACCCUCCAGACAAGCCCUCGGGGUCAAGUGCUGCCCAGCCCAGCCUAACUGAGAGAG
rnacentral:sRNA from 1 species